UGCUCCUGCCUGAUGGGAGUUGAGGUCCUACCCCGAUCCCAAACACUGACCGCCGGUGCCGGAUCAUUAAUACCAUCUGGAACAAAUUACUAAAUGAGCCUCCAUCAUGCGAACGUGACGUAUUCCCGGGUUCUAGAGCGGCGCGUGGAUCGUUCUUACAUGGAGUCUUAAAAGUAAUUUUUUCUAAAACACAGAAUAUUUCCAUGUUUGGGACGAGGCUCAGCAAGGAGUCCAGAAUCGGGUUUUCUGCCUAAUUCCAGCGAAUAAAAAUCGGUUACAUUGAA